GCAGGGAUGAUCUCUUUUAUCUUUUUGAGAUACUUGACCAUACUAUCUUUUCGAGCUUUAUAGUUUUCGCUAACUUGUCCCACCAUCAAUUGGGAGUCACUGUAGACUUGGAGCCGAUCUACUUCUAAUUCUUUGGCGAUCUUCAGUCCUACAAUCAGAGCAUUAUAUUUCGCUCCAUUAUUUGUCAUAGGGAAUUCGAAGCAUAGCGCAUACUCCACGAUAAUUCCUUCUGGAUUGACCAAGAUCAGGUUCGCAUCCACACCUGACAUGUUGGAGGAACCGUCCAUAUAGAGGGCCCAAAAACCAUUAGGGAGAUCUAUUCUUUCCUCAGGGG
rnacentral:lncRNA from 1 species